AGUGGAUGGGGAGCAACCUAGUUGUGCGUGUGUAAAGGUAGUGCCAAGAAAAGCGAUGAUCAUGUUGAAAAUCAAUUCCCGGUACCCGAAACCGACACAGGUGGGCAAGUAGAGAAUACUAAGGGGCGCGAGGUAACUCUCUCCAAGGAACUCGGCAAAAUGACCCCGUAACUUAGGGAGAAGGGGUGCCACCGAGAGGUGGUCGCAGUGAAGAGGCCCAGGCGACUGUUUAGCAAAAACAUAGGUCUCUGCAAACUCGAAAGAGGAGGUAUAGGGGCUGACGCCUGCCCAGUGCCGGAAGGUUAAAGAAGUUGGUCAGUUUUAGGAUGAAGCUAGCGACUGAAGCCCCGGUGAACGGCGGCCGUAACUAUAACGGUCCUAAGGUAGCGAAAUUCCUUGUCGGGUAAGUUCCGACCCGCACGAAAGGCGUAACGAUCUGGGCGCUGUCUCGGAGAGAGGCUCGGCGAAAUAGGAUUGUCUGUGAAGAUACGGACUACCUGCAUUUGGACAGAGAGACCCUAUGAAGCUUUACUAUAGCUUGGAAUUGUGUUCGGGCUUCCUGUGCGCAGGAUAGGUGGGAGGCGUAGAAGGUAUUCUUGUGGGGAUACUGGAGCCAACGGUGAGAUACCACUCUCAGGAGGCUAGAAUUCUAACUUAAUUAAGGACAGUUUCAGGUGGGUAGUUUGACUGGGGCGGUCGCCUCCAAAAAGGUAACGGAGGCGUACAAAGGUUCCCUCAGACUGGUUGGAAAUCAGUCGAAGAGUGCAAAGGCAGAAGGGAGCUUGACUGCGAGAAGUACAGUUCGAGCAGGGUGGAAACACGGUCUUAGUGAUCCGACGGUGCUGUGUGGAAGGGCCGUCGCUCAACGGAUAAAAGUUACUCUAGGAUAACAGGCUGAUCUCCCCCAAGAGUUCACGUCGACGGGGAGGUUUGGCACCUCGAUGUCGGCUCAUCGCAACCUGGGGCGGUAGUACGUCCCAAGGGUUGGGCUGUUCGCCCAUUAAAGCGGUACGUGAGCUGGGUUCAGAACGUCGUGAGACAGUUCGGUCCAUAUCCGAUGUAGGCGUGAGAAUAUUGAGAGGAGCCUUCCUUAGUACGAGAGGACCGGGAAGGACGCACCGCUGGUGUACCUGUUAUGAUGCCAAUUGUAAACGCAGGGUAGCCAAGUGCGGAGAGGAUAACCGCUGAAAGCAUCUAAGUGGGAAGCCCACCUCAAGAUGAGUAUUCUGGUGUAAGGUCACGGGAAGACGACCCGUAAAUAGGCACGAGGUGGAAGUGCAGAGAUGUAUGAAGCCGAAGUGUACUAAUAGACCGUCGGCUUGAC
rnacentral:rRNA from 1 species